rnacentral:rRNA from 1 species
GAUGAACGCUAGCUACAGGCUUAACACAUGCAAGUCGAGGGGAAACGAUAGAGAAAGCUUGCUUUUUCUAGGCGUCGACCGGCGCACGGGUGAGUAACGCGUAUCCAACCUGCCCAUCACUUGGGGAUAACCUUGCGAAAGUAAGACUAAUACCCAAUGACGUCUCUAGAAGACAUCUGAAAGAGAUUAAAGAUUUAUCGGUGAUGGAUGGGGAUGCGUCUGAUUAGCUUGUUGGCGGGGUAACGGCCCACCAAGGCGACGAUCAGUAGGGGUUCUGAGAGGAAGGUCCCCCACAUUGGAACUGAGACACGGUCCAAACUCCUACGGGAGGCAGCAGUGAGGAAUAUUGGUCAAUGGACGAGAGUCUGAACUAGCCAAGUAGCGUGCAGGAUGACGGCCCUAUGGGUUGUAAACUGCUUUUAUAAGGGAAUAAAGUGAGUCUCGUGUGGGAUUUUGUAUGUACCAUAUGAAUAAGGAUCGGCUAACUCCGUGCCAGCAG